rnacentral:lncRNA from 1 species
CACUAGCCGAAUGAGGUCUCCGAAUGUAAUUGGCCCAAGGAAGCAACUCAGUUUCAAGGCCAUUAACCCAACAAUAACUAGUGGAAGGUGUGGAUGGAAAGAUCAGGCAGAUUAAUCCAAAAUGCAUGGCAUAAUCAUUAGAGUUGACAGUCAUUUUUUAUAUAAAUUUUUCAUUUCUUUGUUUCAAAUGGGGACAUUCAUUGUCUUUUAUUUUUUCUUUAUAUUUUUAUUUUUAUUUUUCUUGGGUCAGUUGUCCAAAUAAAAAUCACUGUCAUUUUUUUUCUUGUCUUUAAGUCAAGUUUAUGUCGAAACAAGUGAGAAAAGAUUUCAAAAUUGGCUACCAGCUUCUUCAAUUGCAGAAAGCAAGACAAAAGGCCAGCACAUGAAAGAGACAUGAUUGUGAGCCAAAAUAAGGCAUGCAGAAAGUUGUGUCAACAAAAAAUUCUGACAAUUCAUGAAAAUACCAAGGAUCAAAGAGUUUAUCUGAGAAGCAUGGCAAAGCAAAGAUACUGUGUUUAUUUUAGAAGAACUCUUAAUAAUCUGAGUUCGGAUCAAUGAUGCAGCAAGUCAAUGGCAUAUGCUAAUGGUCGAAAUCAAGAUUAAUGUGACAGGGGCAAGAGCGAUUUCCACAAAAGCCAAAGCCACAAACUAACCACCAUGUUUUUAAACUAACAAGUUUUCUUUGUAUGAAAUAGGAACACAUGCUACCUUCGAAUCAAGGAUUUCAAAGCCUAAAUAUCAAGGGCCGUAAUAUUCUCACUUCUACAAAUGCAAGAGGUAAUGUUGCUGCACAUAUUUGGUAUUCAAACUCAUGGUAAUUCAAGCGACAUUUGUAAGGAGACGCACUUCCUUAUUUUGGUAAUUCUAGCAACAUUUGUAAAGAGACGCACUUCCUUGUUUGGGUAAUUCCAGCAAUAUUUGUAAGGAAACACACUUCCUUAUUUGGUAAAUCCAGCAACAUUUAUGAGGAAACACACUUUCUUGUUUGGUAAUUCAAGCGGUAUUUGUAAGAAGACACACUUUCUUAUUUGGGUAAUUCCAGCAACUUUUGUAAGGAGACGCACUUCCUUGUUUGGGUAAUUCAAGCGGUAUUUGUAAGGAUACACACUUACUUGUUUGGUAAUUCAAUUGGAACUUGUAAGGAGAUGUACUUCCUUAUUCGGGUAAUUCCAGCAACAUUUGUAAGGAGACGCACUUCCUUGUUUGGCUAAUUCCAACAACAUUUAUAAAGGGACGCACUUUCUUGUUUUGAUAAUUCAAGCAACAUUUGUAAGGAGACACACUUUCUUAUUUUGGUAAUUCAAGCGUUAUCAUAAGGAGACUCACUUCCAAAGGAGACACACUUCCUUGUUUGGUAAUUCGAUCGGCAUUUGUAAGGAGACGCACUUCCUUGUUCAGGUAAUUCCAGCAAUAUUUGUAAGGAGACGCACUUCCUUGUUUGGUAAUUCAAGCAACAUUUGUAAGGAGACUCACUUCCUUGUUGAGUAAUUCAAGCAACAUUUGUAAGGAGACGCACUUCCUUGUUGGGUAAUUCAAGUGACAUUUAUAAGGAGAUGCACUUCCUUGUUUGGGUAAUUCAAGCGGCAUUUGUAAGGAGGCGCACUUCCUUGUUUAGUUAAUUCAAGAAACAUUUAUAAGGAGACGCACUUCCUUGCUUGGGGUAAUUCGAGCAACAUUUGUGAGGAGACGCACUUCCUGAUUUGGGCAAUUCGAGAAACAUUUGUAAGGAGACACGCUUUCUUAUUUUGGUAAUUCAAACGCUAUCAUGAAAAGACGUACUUCCAAAGGAGACACACUUUCUUGUUUUGGUAAUUCAAGCGGCAUUGGUAAGGAGACACACUUCCUUGUUUGGUAAUUCAAGCGGUAUUUUUAAGGAGACGCACUUCCUUGUUUGGGUAAUUCAAGCGGCAUUUGAUAAGGAGACGCACUUCCUUGUUUGGGGUAAUUCAAGCAACAUUUGGAAGGAGACGGACUUCCUGGUUCGGGAAAUUCAAGAAACAUUUGUAAGGAGACGUACUUCCUUGUUUGAGUAAUUCAAGAGACAUUUGUGAGGUGAUGCACUUCCUUAUUUGAGUAAUUCAAGUGAUAUUUGUAAGGAGAUGCACUUCCUUGUUUGAGUAAUUCAAGCGACAUUGGUAAGGAGAUGCUCUUCCUUGAUUGGGUAUUUCGAAUUUUGAUUUUUAGGUGAUGCACUUCCUUGUUUUGAUAAUUUAAGCAACAUUGGUAAGGAGAUUCACUUCCUUGAUUGGAUAUUUCGAAUUUUGAUUUUUAGGUGAUGCACUUCCUAACUUGAGUUUUGAUUUCUAGAAAAUGCACUUUCUAGUCGAGUUAUCGCACUUAGCCCUAAGGAGACACACUUCCUUGCUAGUUUUAAUUUGUCAGGUGGCACACUUUUUAGCUUAAACUUGUAUCUCUAGAAGACGCACUUUCUAGUUAGAAUCCCUCACUUUAAUUCUAAGGAAAUGCACUUCCUAGUCUUGGUUAUUUAAUUUUACUCUUAAGAGAUGAAUUUCUUAGUCAAAGUCUUGAUUCAUCAUUACAACAUGCAAGUAGGUAUGAUGUGACUUUUCCAAAACUCUUCUGAUGAUAAACUGGGGCAAAAAUUCAAUUUCUCUUUUUGAAACUUUACUUUUCUGGCAAAUAAAACCUCUUUAUAAUAAUAUUUGUUUGGGAUAAUUUUCUUUUUAGUUUUGAUGUGAUUUCAGGAGCCUACCCGAAGCACAGGGCGAAUAAAUGGAAAACCAAGCAACAAGGUGAAGAAAUUGAAAGUUAAACAGAUUGAAAAAUAGCAAGUCAGGAG